UCACGUGAAGCCCAGGCUGCGGCGACGGAAGCAGAAGCGAUGAAGCCCAGGCACGCGAGGUUUGUGGAUAAUAAGCUGAAGCAGCGCGUCGUCCAGUACCUCACCAGUAACCGAUGUGGCAAAUAUGUGGACACUGGAGUCUUAGCAUCCGAUUUACAAAGAAUGUACAGUAUAGACUAUGGUCGAAGAAAAAGAAAUGCUUUUAGGAUUCAGGUAGAAAAAGUAUUUAGCAUAAUUAGUAGUGAGAAGGAACUUAAGGAUCUACCAGAAUUAGAAGAUGAACAUCUGGCUAAAAGAGCAAGACAUGGUGAAGAGGAUAAUGAGUAUAAUGAAAGCUAUUCUGAUGAUGAUUCAAAUAUGGAAGAUUACCCAGAUCCACAGUCAGCAAAUCAGAUGAACAGUUCCCUGCUCUUCUUAUACCGGAAAGGAAAUCCUGAUUCUGUUUCAAGUACUCCUGACAUGGAGCGAAGAGAAACCACGAUUUCAACACCACGGAUAACUUCCAAAACAGGCUCCAUUCGUUUGAAGACCCCUGCCAGAGGUUCUGAAGGAGGAUGGUUUAUUGACAAAACCCCGGGUGGGAAGAAAGACAGUUUUUUCUCAGACCUAUCAGAUGAGAAAAGUAAUGAUAAGAAGCCGAUCUCUGAGAUAGAGAAUUCAAAAGAUUCUUCUCUUCUGGAGAGUAAUAAAAAAAGAAAAGGCAGGCUAAACAGCAAAAGAGGCAAAAGGAAGAAAGAAGAUCUUCAGGAAGUAGAUGGAGAAAUAGAGGCUGUCCUGCUAAAGAAAGCUAAAGCCAGGGGGCUAGAAUUGCAGAUCUCCAAGGUGAAGUUUGAAGAUGUUGGAGGCAAUGAUACGACAUUAAAAGAGGUCUGCAAGAUGCUCAUACACAUGCGUCACCCAGAGGUGUACCACCACCUGGGCGUCAUACCCCCACGCGGAGUUCUUCUUCAUGGACCACCGGGCUGUGGGAAGACGUUGCUUGCACAUGCAAUUGCUGGGGAACUUGACCUUCCAAUAUUGAAAGUAGCUGCUACAGAGAUUGUAUCUGGAGUAUCUGGAGAAUCGGAACAGAAGCUGAGAGAGCUAUUUGAACAAGCUGUGUCAAAUGCACCAUGUAUCCUUUUUAUUGAUGAAAUUGAUGCUAUUACCCCCAAAAGAGAAGUUGCUUCAAAAGAUAUGGAACGAAGAAUUGUAGCCCAGCUCCUAACCUGCAUGGACGAUCUGAAUGACAUGGCCGCUACAGCUCGGGUGCUAGUCAUCGGAGCUACUAACCGACCAGACUCCUUAGACCCUGCUUUGAGACGUGCAGGAAGGUUCGACCGAGAGAUAUGCCUAGGUAUCCCAGAUGAAGCAUCCAGGGAAAGAAUACUUCAAACUUUGUGCAGAAAAGUAAGACUUCCCGAAACUUUUCAUUUUCGUCACUUAGCACACCUAACGCCGGGCUUCGUUGGUGCUGACCUGAUGGCACUCUGCCGAGAGGCAGCCAUGUGUGCAGUCAACAGGGUCUUAAUGAAGCUGCAGGAGCAGCAGCAGAAGAAUCCUGAGAUUGAAGGUUUGCCCUCUGAAGGAGGCCAGGAAGAAAGGAUUGGAACUGAGCCCACUUCUAAAACACAGGAUGAAUUGCAAAGCCUCUUGGGGUUGCUGAGGAACCAAGAUCCCCUCUCAGAGGAGCAGCUGCAAGGGCUGUGCCUUGAGUUGAAUGAUUUCAUUGUUGCUCUAUCCUCUGUCCAACCCUCUGCUAAAAGGGAAGGCUUUGUCACUGUCCCAAAUGUGACAUGGGCAGAUAUUGGUGCCCUGGAAGACAUUAGAGAGGAGCUCACCAUGGCAAUAUUGGCACCAGUACGUAACCCAGAUCAGUUCAAAGCUCUUGGGUUGGAGACUCCAGCUGGAGUUCUCCUUGCUGGUCCCCCUGGCUGUGGGAAAACUCUGCUGGCAAAGGCUGUUGCAAAUGAGUCUGGGUUAAAUUUUAUAUCUGUCAAAGGGCCUGAGUUACUAAAUAUGUAUGUUGGUGAAAGCGAGCGUGCUGUGCGACAGGUUUUUCAGCGAGCCAAGAAUUCAGCACCCUGCGUGAUAUUCUUUGAUGAAGUGGAUGCCUUAUGUCCUCGAAGAUCAGUCCGAGAGACAGGGGCAAGUGUCCGGGUGGUAAAUCAGCUACUUACAGAGAUGGAUGGUCUGGAAACACGUCAGCAGGUUUUUAUUAUGGCAGCCACUAACAGACCAGAUAUCAUUGACCCUGCAAUCCUGCGCCCAGGCCGCCUGGACAAAACACUCUUUGUGGGUUUGCCACCCCCAGCAGAUCGUCUUGCCAUCUUAAAAACUAUCACAAAAAAUGGCACCAAACCCCCACUGGAUGCAGAUGUAAAUUUGGAAGCAGUUGCUGGUGACCUUCGCUGUGAUUGCUAUACGGGUGCAGAUCUCUCUGCUUUGGUACGGGAGGCUUCUAUCUGUGCCUUGAAGCAGGAAAUGGCAAGACAGAAGAGUGGAAGUGAAAAAGGUGAACUCAAGGUUAGUCAGAAGCACUUUGAAGAAGCUUUCAAGAAAGUAAAGUCAUCUGUAUCAAAAGAGGAUCAAGCAAUGUAUGAAGCUCUGCAGUGGUCCCUCAGCCGGUGACUUCUCAAGCAGCAGGCCUUCAGGGAGUCCAGGGCAUCGAGCUGCCAAAGAUACCCACGUGCUCUGAGCUGUCCACUUUCAACUUGACACAGAUGUGGUCUCACGGCUAGAAUGUGAUGAAGUGAUGAUGAACCAGCUGUGACCAUAUAAAUGGAGACAUUCUAGGGGGUGACAGAGCAAUAAGACAUAAAAAGCCAAGGUCCCUGGACACUUGUGGAGCAGUUUUCUCACUGCUCAGACACAGUUGGCCUAGACUUUUAUAUGUGACCUUUAUCGUGCUUAAGCAAUUAUAUUUUGAUCUCUGUUAAAGCAGCCAAAUUAAUGUCCUAAUUAAUACAGUGAAACAAGUAAAGAGGCAGUUGCAAAACAGCCUGAGAAUGACUGUGAAGGGAUAAGAAUAGAUGCCAUUCAUUAGGAGGAGCACAGAGGAAGGGCAGUGGCGUCCAGGGAGAGUUCUCCGGAGAAAAUGAUGCCUCAGCUGAGUCCUGAAGGCUGAGAGGGAAAUGCAGGAAGGGAAUACAUGAUCUAACUGACAAUAGAGACCUGCAGAGGGGAGAGGGGCUGGUGUCUGAGAAACUAAAGACAGGUGCGCUCUAACAUUCAUCCACAGGAUAUUGCUGAAAACACAUCAAAGUUGUGUUUAUAGGAGCAUCUUAUUUCCAAAAGCUAAAAUAGUUAGAAAGCACCUAGUUACAUGUUAGGCACAAUCUUUAGUCAUUGUUAAUAUCUCUCACUGUUGAAGUUCUCACUACCUGAACUCAGGAACUGAAUGGAUUUGGAUACAUUUUUGCACUGCCCAUGUUCCAGAGCUGAGAGGCCAGAUAGAUUUGGGAUAAAAUGGAAUCCCACAUCAUUCAGAGGCUACCCUUAACUCCAUUGCUUUAGGUCCAUGAGACCUAUGCUUAUCACUGGCAUCAGCAUUUUUAAUUUUCAACUUAUUUUUACAAAAUAAGGACAAACAAAAAUAUUCAGUUAAAUGUGCAGGCAUUAUAGUUGUCUGACUUGGGGUGUCCUGCUAAGUUUCGUGAGGAAGGGAUCCUGUCAGUCUUGUCUCCUUAGCAUCCAGCCCAGUGCCUGGAUCACAGGAAGCAUUUAAUAAAUGUUAAAUGAAUUACCUUUCUUAGACAACAGGACUGUCAAAAUUAGACUGCUGGCUGUGCCCAGCCCCUCCCUCCAUGUGAGAACUAAAAAUGUUGAUUCAUUGGGUAAUAGAAAUCUCACUUUGUCCUAUGAGAAAAGAUAAAGGGACAUGUGAAUAGCUUAUAACCCAGCAGUUCCACUCUGACAUAUGUAUCCAACAGAAGUGCACACACCAAAAUAGCAAAAUUCAUAAUUGACCAAAAAUGGAAACAACCUAAAUAUCCAUCAGCCGUAGAAUGGAUAAACAUGGUGUUUUCAUGCACUAGAAUACUACACAGCAAUGAUGAACUGUAUGCAACAACACAGGUGAUUCUCACAGAUACUGAGAGGAAGAUGCCAGUCUUGAAAUCAUCUCGUGUGAUUCUACUUAUUAAUGUAUAAAAUUCAAAAAGGCAACUGAUCGAUACCAUUAGAAGUCAGGUUUAUGGUUAGUAUUGGAGGGCAGUGCCUGGAAGGAGCACCAAGUGGGCCAGCCUCUGGGAUGCUGGCCACGCCCUCCUUGAUCUGGUGAUGGCUUCAUGCAUGUGUUUUCUUACUGAUGAUUCAUUGCACCGUGUGCUUAUCAUAGCUCUUUUCUAUAAGUAUGUUCACUUCAGUUAAAAAGAUUUUUUAGGGCUUCCCUGGUGGCACAGUGGUUAAGAACCUGCCUGCCAACGCAGGGGACACGGGUUUGAGCCCUGGUUUGGGAAGAUUCCGCAUGCCGCGGAGCAACUAAGCCCGUGAGCCACAACUACUGAGCCCACGCACCAUAACUACUGAAGCCCACGUGCCUAGAGCCCGUGCUACGCAACAAGAGAAGCCACCACAACCAGAAGCCUGCGCACCGCAACCACGAGUAGCCCCCGCUCGCCGCAACUAGAGAAAGCCCACACGCAGCAACAAAGACCCAACACAGCCAAAAAUAAAUAAGUAAAAAUAAAUAAAAUAAAUUUAUUUUAAAAAAAGGUUUUUUAAAAACUUAUGAAAAUUUUUUCUGUAAUUCAUGAUUCUUCAUCUGAUUUUAUUUAUAAUAAACAUUUCAAAAAUUUAAAACAAUAGGAGUAUCAAUAUUGAAAACAUGGGUCACUUAAAAGUAAAGAGGUGCAUAGAGCCCAGUAUACUUGAGGAUAAGCCAGCCACUCUUUUCUCUUUCCCCUUAAAACAUCAGGCGUUUUGCUCAUACUAUCCUCCCAUCUGGUCAGUGGUGAGAAAAUAAAGUUGAAGAGGUGAGUGGGAGUGGAAUUUUGUUAUUUAAAUUAGCCCAACACUAAUAUUCUCUCUUCCUGGGAGAAUAUGAGCUUCAAAGAUGCCUGCAGCCAUCGAGGUUGUCUGGGCCAAUGCUGCCUUUGGGAAUGUUUCCUUAGAUGGCAUGUUGCCCAUGCAGUCUGGUUCCACUGCCAGGUAGGCCUUGCCCCUGAGAGGGGGAGGGAGGGAGGAACUCACCAAAGUGUGUUCCAAAGAACUUCUUAGGUGUGGAGAUAAGCAGUCCAUGUUACAUCGCAGCCAAGGACGUUCUGUUUUCCAAGACCACAGUAAGUGUCAAGAGGGAGAAACUCGACAGCUCCUUAGCUUCCCUUCCCUCUAUCUGAACACCUGCUCUGUCUCCCACAGUCCUCAUCACCCAAGCUAGGAAGGUGGAAGGCAUCUUCAGUUCUUCUGUUCAGUGAUCAGGCAUUUAUUACUUAGAUGUACUUAUUCUCACAGACACCUAGCUCAAGCUGUCUUUGUCUUUCAUACGUUUACUUUGGCCUCCUAUUUAAUCUCCUAUUCCAAUCGCUUACACACUAAAACCGGGGUUGCCUUCAAAAGAUACUAAUUAAUCAUGUCACUUCUCAGCUUAGCAUCCUCCUGUGGCCUAAACACAUUGGUCUAAUUAUGCAUGGGCCUUUGUAAUCUGACAUCAAUCCACCUUUGGCACCUGUCCUGGCCCCCCUCCCCUGACUGGAUAUAUUGGCAUUCCAGUGGAACACCAUGUUCUUUCACAUCUCAGGCCUGGCUCACGGUGUUCCCAUUACCCACCUCCUCCCUCCACCCAAACACAAGACCCACUUCUGGGCUUGAAAUACCCAUGGUGAGAAGCCCUGCCCAAUCCCUCACUCCACUUUCUGCUCAGACUGUGCUGACCUGGACUGUGGCCAUUAAACACCCUCUACUUAAGUACUAGCUUCUCAAUGGCAGAGUCCUUAAUUCAUUUUUGCAUUAUAGCACUUGACACAUAAUAAGAACAAAGUAACUUUUUAAUAGCACAAUUGAAUCACUUUGCCCUAUGGCACAAAGCACAGCUAACAUAGGGGAGAUUUGCUGGAGAUUUUAUGUUGUUUCUACCCCAGGAAUCCGCCAAACUGGAACUUCACGGCUCAUGGCUCUCUGAAGAGAAAUCAGCAAAGCUUUGGAGGUGGGGCUUCCUCAGGCAUUUAGUUAUUGCUGAUCAGAAGUCCUUUUAGCAAUACUUCUCUGUGGCUAAGGAGCCCCUGAAUGUGCUCAAGGCAUUCAAAAGAAACUGGUUCUAAGAGCUUGGCCCACACAAGCAUUCUCUCUCUAAAGCAGAAAGUUUUAAGGAGGAGAUAAUAUAUAUUUAUUACAACCGAAAUUCUAAUUACCGUCAUUGCACAGACAGGAAAACCUCUGCUACUCUGGCUAACUGUGAGUGAGCCUGGUAAAUGGACAAUGGGUCUUCCUUACAGACUCCAGGAAGUUUUGCUAGCUUGAACUUUCUCAAAACUAAUAAUGCAGAAAGCUAAAUGAGUUUCACGAUAACCGAGGCCUUUAGAAGUGGAGAUACGGGUGACGGAAAUAGAUUAGGGAACUGUAGAAGCCCUGUUUUGCAGCGUACGUAUAAGGAAGUCUGUUUUUCAAAUAAAAAAGCCCUAUCUGAAAAGGAGGCAAAAGCAAAUUAAUUAAUUCAACAAAUACUUUUUGAGCAUCUACUUCAUAUCUGCUUUUUUCCAACUGCCUCCUUUAUUACUCUCAGCUCACUUAGAACUUGGAUGUUGAAGCAGCAUUCAGAUUCUCUGACCGUUUAUUGCCAAACUCAGUUUAUAGUCCAGCUUAGAUUCAUUUAUUAAAAAUGACAUUGUUUGUGCCACUUUAAUUUUGCACCUUGCACGGCACAGGUUUGGAGCAUCUGUGCCUUGACACACAAAAUGUCACAGGCUUUGUUAUUGCUGGUGGCAUGGGAUGGGGGAAGAAGAGGAAGGUGGACUUAUAAACUGUAUACUAAUACAUUAAAACUCAGACAUAUAGUAUCUUCACUUUGUAUUUGAGAAAACAGGCUCAGAGAGGUUGAACAACUUGUCUUGGUCACACAGCUAAUAAGUGGCAUCUGGAAAUUCAAACCCGAGACUGUCUUAACUCUAAAGACUUUGUCCUCCUACAUCCUGCUGGCUUUGGGGGCAGGAGAUGGACUUCUGUGUCAUGUCCCCUGGGGAACUACCAAAAUGCCUUCUAAAUCAUUCACUAGUGUGAGUUGUAAUAAUAAUCAUCUUUAUUAAAUAGUGAAUAACAUUUUUUUCUUUGAACUCAAGCAACUAGUAUCAGAAACCUCUCUACACAGUUGCCGCUCAGUAAACUCUGAUGUUCUGACAGACAAGAUUUUAUUUAUUUAUUUAUUUAAUUUUUGAUCGCACCACAUGGCAUGUGGAACUUCCCUGACCAGGGAACGAACCCUUGCCCCCUGCAGUGGAAGUGCAGAUUCUUAACCACUGAACCACCAGGGAAAGUCCUGUCCAUGUAUAUUUUAAAUAGUGAUUUUUAAAUGGCUAGGGUGGAGGCAAAGAAAUAACUAUUGUAUUGCCCAGCCUCGGAAGUAAAAGAUUUAAGAAAAUGGGCAAAUGUUUAACUCUAGGAACCUUAGAGUAUGCUCACAUCCCUCCUUAGUCAUAAUCAGAAGCCAGUGUUUGCAUUGUGCUUUUCAAAUGCCUUUGAAUCCUAGAGAACAAUGGGUAUUUCUCCACAUCGCAGGGGAUCUCAGGUUAUCCAGCAACAUUAGCAUGUGUUUUAUCUUGCAAAAUAUUACCUACAGUUUACAUAUUCUCCUUCUCAAGACUAUUGAAUCGUAAGGCUACAAAAGGCCUUUGAAUCCUGUGUCAGGAUUUCUCAACUCGAUGACACAAGAAUCAACUGAGGCUCUUAAAAAUAGGCUACCUGGCAGUCUCCCAAGUCAAUAGAAAUGAAAGCAAAAAUAAACAAAUGGGACCUAAUCAAACUUACAAGCUUUUGCACAGCAAAGGAAACCAUAAACAAAGUGAAAGACAACCUAUGGACUGGGAGAAAAUAUUUGCAAAUGUUGCAACCGACAAGGGUUUAAUUCCCAAAAUAUAUGAACAGCUCAUACAAUUCAGUAACAAAAAAACUCAGAUGACCCAAUCAAAAAAUGUGCAGAAGACCUAAAUAGACAUUUCUCCAAAGAAGACAUACAGAUGGCCAAUAGGCACAUGAAAAGAUGCUCAUCGCUAAUUAUUACAGAAAUGCAAAUCAAAACAAUAAUGAGGUACCACCUCACACUGCACAGAAUGGCCAUCAUUAAAAAGUCUACAAAUAAUAAAUGCCGGAGAGGCUGUGGAGAAAAGGGACCCGUCUUACACUGUUGGUGGGAAUGUAAAUUGGGGCAGCCACUAUGGAAAACAGUAUGGAGGUUCCUUAAAAAACUAAAAAUAGAGUUGCCAUAUGAUCCGGCAAUCCCAGUCCUGGGCAUAUUCCCAGAGAAAACUAUAAUUCAAAAUGAUACUUGCACCCCUAUGUUCAUAGCAGCACUAUUUACAAUAGCCAAAACAUGGAAACAACCUAAAUGUCCAUUGACAGAUGAAUGGAUAAAGAAGAUGUGGUACAUAUAUACAAUGGAAUAUUACUCAGCCAUAAAAAAGAAUGAAAUAAUGCCAUUUGCAGCAACAUGGAUGGACCUAGAGAUUGUCAUACUAAGCAAAGAAGGUCAGAAAGAGAAAGACAAAAUACCAUAUGAUAUCACUUAUAUGUGGAAUCUAAAAUACAACCCAAAGGAGCAUAUCUACGAAAAUGAAACAGACUCAUAGACAUAGAGAACAGACUUGUGGUUGCCAAGGGUGGGGAGAAUGGGGAAGGGAAGGAUUGGAAGAUUGGGAUUAACAGAUGCAAACUAUCAUAUAUAGAUGGAUAAACAACAAGGUCCUACUGGGUAGCACAGGGAACUAUAUUCAAUAUCCUGUGACAAACCAUAAGGGAAAAGAAUAUGAAAAUAUAUAUAUAUAUAACUAAAUCACUUUGCUGUACAGAGAAAUUGACAUGACAUUGUAAUUCAACUUUACUUCAAUAAAAAUUUUUUUUUUAAAUGCUACCUGGGCCUCACUGCAGACCUGUUGAAUCAGAGUUCCUGGAUGGGGCUUGGGUGAUUUUUUUCUUUUAUUGAAAUAUAGUUGACAUACAAUAUUAUAUUAGUUUUGGGUGUACAACAUAGUGCUUUGACAUUUAUAUGCAUUAUGAAUUGACCACCACAAUGUCUAGUAAGCAUCUGUCACCAUACAAAGUUAUUAUAUUAUUGACUAUAUUCCGUGCUGUACUGAGGUAAAUUACAUGACCAGCUAAAGCUUCAGUCACGUUGAAAAAGAGAGGAAGCAGAAGCGAGAUCUGCCAACGCUGGCUUCCUGAUGAUCUUGACUGAGCAAACGAGGCCGCCCUGGAGAUCACGUGCAGUCCAGAUGUGCCUGCCACCCUCGUUCUCAAGGUGAAGCCUCUGGAGAGUCGUUAGCCCAGUGACGGCUCUGGUGCCACACUUUCCCCCCUCCUUCCUUUCCUUCCCCUGCAGCCAAGUUCCAAGCAGCUGGCUGUGGGAUGAGCUGACACACAACAAUGAAAAUUUGCCCCGGUGGAACUUCACAGGCUCCUUCUAUCCCUGCUGGAGAGCAGUAGAGGCAUUUGAGGUCAAGAGGCUGAGCCGGGUAGGGAGCACAGCAUGAUUAGCAGCAAAGGGGAUGAGGGACAAAUGCCAGGAACGCUCCUUCCCGCUGCUUAGUGUGUGACAAAGCUGGAAGAAAGGGAAGACUUUGGGAUUUACGUGAGGUCUCAAAUCUUGAAGGAUGCUAAAUUUGUUCUCGCUUGGGACCUGUAACAGGUUCAGAUGCCAGAUGAAAAUCAGGUUCAUUUCAGGUGAGUCUAAAGAUUGAUUUUUUUUUAAUUGGCAUCAGGGCACAAUAGAUAUAGUAGUUUGCAGUCCAUAGUCCACUCGUAACUUGAAAUUAGAAACUGAAAAGCAGUCAUGUAAGUGGGAGGAGAGAUUUCAUUAAUUCAUUCAACAAAUAUUUCUCAACCGGCAACUGAGCAGGUUCAGUGCUAGUUGCGGACAGUACAGCUCAGAGCAAAACUCAAGUCCCUCCCCCAAGGGCGUCUCCCCCUCCCACGGUGGGGGAGGGCAUGGGGAGAAGAAAAGGGCAGAGUCAGUAAGUCCAGGUAUGUUUAUGUUAUGCACACACACACCAAAUAGAACAAGUGGUAAGUGCUGUGAAAAAAAGGAGGGAAAGGGCUGGCGAGAGCUGUGUGUGGGUCUGUGCGUCGGUGGUUAUUUUAUGUGGUGGUGGGGGGACAAGGAGUGAAAGAGAGGCAGGUAGCCUUUGGGGGAGAGGGUGCUCUGCCCCACGAGACCACAGAACCUAAAUGUCCAUCAGUCAAAGGCAUCUACACCUAGCUGUGCCACCAUCCCUUCAUGUGCUACCAGCCUCUUCAUCAGAUCCAUGACACCUGGUCAGCCUCUUCCAGGUUGACCGGCAGACCCUCGGGUACUUUCAAGCCCCAUAACAGGCCAGGUUGGUGGUCUGGUCUUGCCUCUGUCCUCCUCACUCUCCAGGGCAGGGCGUCGCGUCGCAGCAUUGCUCCUGUCCCAAACUCCAUCUGUGACAUUGAUGACCCCUAACCUCUGCAGAGGAGGGGCUGUGCAGAGCCAUCAUACCUGCACUCCCGGUGGCCUCACGGGUCAUUACCUCGAGGCUGAGGGACAGUGGCUGUGAGCUGCCAGCCUUCCCACAUUUUAACUCAUUCACUUCUCACUGUAGCCCUGGGAGGGAUGUGUGACUUUAUCAUCAGUUUGCAAAUAAAGAAACUUGCCCAUGGCUAGAGAGAGGCAGAGUUGGGCAAGUCUUAUCCACUGAAAACCCCUUUCUUCAAGGAAACAAAGCACAAUUAUGGAAAGUUGAAACGUCUAGGGUUUAAAUAACGCCCCAAGCGUAGUCACAAGGCCAAAACGGUGACUCAGGAGAGAGGACUUAAGUCCUCUUAAGUGCUGGCCAUCGGUUGGCACAGAAAAGGAUUAAGUGCGGAGCACUUCGCUAUGGGAGAGCCCUUUAAUACACGUGUGGAUAACUUCGUUCAUUUAUUUUUCUGUUGCUAAAGGAAUCUGUAGAAAUUUACAGCAAGGCAGCCGAAAGGUAUAUGAGUCAUCCAUAAUCUUGCUUUUCAGAGGCUACCACUAUUAACAGCUGUCAAACAUCUGCCUCUAAGAUUUUCUCUCAUCCGAUGGAUUGGGGUGAUUUUUGUCCCUGGUCAGAUGUUAACAUUACUUCCCCAUGAAGCAGGCCUUUUCGGGGUCCUGUCCCAGUGACCCACCUUCAUUCCUACGAAGAAUGACUCCCCAAGGUGAAAGUGAGGCGGGAGAUAGAUGGGCUCCAGGACUAGACACUUAGAACUGGCCUCCUGUUCACACUUCCUGGGGUGAGAAGAUGGGCUCCAGGCCGGACAUUCAUUACCAGCCCCCUGUUUACAUUUCCUGAAGCAAGAGACAAGCGGGCUCCAGGACUACAUAUUUAUGACCAGACUCCUGUCUGUGUUUCCAGAUCUGCACCUCAAUAUAAAAACCAGCAACAGAAAUAGGGUAAAUAACCAGACAUUGGACAUUUUUAUGGCAGGGAUAGAGUGGGACUAAUUAAAAGAUCAAGAGGUCAUACAUUUCCCAUCCUUGGGGCAAGGGAAACAUUGCACGUGCGCAGAAAGACUCCUUGGGGGCAAAAAGGAGAGGGCGCCACUCCACAAUAUGUGAUGCUAAGGCCGUCCCAUAGGCCUCUGGGCUAUAAUCGAUCUUGGAAAGAAGUUGCGCAUGCAUGUUCGAGAGGGUCCUGAGGCAGAUCAGGUGUGGAAAAAGAAACCAGAUAAUUGGCCAAAGGUAAACAAAGACACGGAAGAACUGCCUUAUGACUUCAACGCCUCUUUACUGAGCUUCUCAUUAGGGAGGAUGCCCACACCCUUUCUCUCUGGGUGUGCAUCUCUGCCUUGCUUCUGUCUUAAGUAAACAAACUGUUUCUCUGUGUGCUCUCCCACUUGUUGUGCUGUGUCUCUAAUAAUAAACUUUGUAUCUGUUUUUACAGAUUUUGCCUCGUGAGAAAUG